GACGAACGCUGGCGGCGCGCCUAACACAUGCAAGUCGAACGAGCGAGAGGAGGUUUCCUUUCUCAAGCGAGUGGCGAACGGGUGAGUAACACGUGAGGAACCUGCCUCAAAGAGGGGGACAACAGUUGGAAACGACUGCUAAUACCGCAUAAGCCCACGACCCGGCAUCGGGUAGAGGGAAAAGGAGCAAUCCGCUUUGAGAUGGCCUCGCGUCCGAUUAGCUAGUUGGUGAGGUAAUGGCCCACCAAGGCGACGAUCGGUAGCCGGACUGAGAGGUUGAACGGCCACAUUGGGACUGAGACACGGCCCAGACUCCUACGGGAGGCAGCAGUGGGGAAUAUUGCACAAUGGGGGAAACCCUGAUGCAGCGACGCCGCGUGGAGGAAGAAGGUCUUCGGAUUGUAAACUCCUGUUGUGGAGGAAGAUAAUGACGGUACUCAACAAGGAAGUGACGGCUAACUACGUG
rnacentral:rRNA from 1 species